GUCCCGGUGGCGCAAUGGAUAGCGCGUCGGACUUCUAAUCCGGAGGUUGUGGGUUCGAGUCCCACCCGGGACG
rnacentral:tRNA from 1 species